CAAUAGCGUAUAUUAAAGUUGUUGCGGUUAAAAGGCUCGUAGUUGGAUUUCUGCCGAGGACGACCGGUCCGCCCUCUGGGUGAGUAUCUGGCUCGGCCUGGGCAUCUUCUUGGAGAACGUAGCUGCACUUGACUGUGUGGUGCGGUAUCCAGGACUUUUACUUUGAGGAAAUUAGAGUGUUUCAAGCAGGCAUACGCCUUGAAUACAUUAGCAUGGAAUAAUAAGAUAGGACCUUGGUUCUAUUUUGUUGGUUUCUAGAGCUGAGGUAAUGAUUAAUAGGGAUAGUUGGGGGCAUUCGUAUUUAACUGUCAGAGGUGAAAUUCUUGGAUUUGUUAAAGAGUGACUACGUGAACGAAGACUUAGUUCGACCGAAGGUAGUUUUCGUUUUACUUAGUUAGUACUAACGAAACGGAAAACGGUUAAAAGGGGUUAAGGGGUACGUAACGGAAAGUAGUAGUACUUAAGGAAUUAACCU
rnacentral:rRNA from 1 species